UUCAACGAAGAAGACAUCAACUAAAACUGUUCGUCAUCCGGGAAAAGAAGGCUGACGACUUUGUGGAACUCAGUUGACUGGAUCCUAACGUUUCCUUCUUGCCACAGUAACCAGGGUUCGGUCAUGGAUGAGACUUCCGUCGGAGAUAUAUUCCCCCUCGCCGGAGCUAAGCCAGCGGUUUGAGGCCGCCCGAGUUAGUCUACUCAUCUCCGUUUUAAGACGAACUUUCACAUGGACAAGCCGUAAGCGAUCUUGAGGGUGAUGACAAAAUGGGUUUGGGAGGAAUUUGCAAGGCCUCAACACUUCCUUUUAGCAUCUCCACAACUUGGGUUGUACAUGGUCGAGCUCUCGGAUCGAUCUGAAUGCACCAUAACCCGAUUACAAUCAUCUUCUUCGCAUUUACUUCGUCCUCCUCAUUUAUGG